rnacentral:rRNA from 1 species
GAUGAACGCUGGCGGCGUGCUUAACACAUGCAAGUCGAGCGAAGCACUUAAGUUCGAUUCUUUGGAUGAAGACUUUUGUGACUGAGCGGCGGACGGGUGAGUAACGCGUGGGUAACCUGCCUCAUACAGGGGGAUAACAGUUAGAAAUGGCUGCUAAUACCGCAUAAGACCACAGUACUGCAUGGUACAGUGGUAAAAACUCCGGUGGUAUGAGAUGGACCCGCGUCUGAUUAGGUAGUUGGUGAGGUAACGGCCCACCAAGCCGACGAUCAGUAGCCGACCUGAGAGGGUGACCGGCCACAUUGGGACUGAGACACGGCCCAGACUCCUACGGGAGGCAGCAGUGGGGAAUAUUGCACAAUGGGCGAAAGCCUGAUGCAGCGACGCCGCGUGAAGGAUGAAGUAUUUCGGUAUGUAAACUUCUAUCAGCAGGGAAGAAAAUGACGG